UUCCGGUUGAUCCCGCCGGAGGUUACUGCUAUCGAGGUUCGACUAAGCCAUGCGAGUCGAAUGCCGCAAGGCAUGGCGUACUGCUCAGUAACACGUGGACAACCUACCCUUAGGACUGGGAUAACCCCGGGAAACUGGGUAUAAUACCCGAUAGGUCUCGAUUGCUGGAAUGCAUCGAGAUUUAAAGCUCCGGCGCCUAAGGAUGGGUCUGCGGCCUAUCAGGUAGUAGUGGGUGUAGCGUACCUACUAGCCUACGACGGGUACGGGUUGUGAGAGCAAGAGCCCGGAGAUGGAUUCUGAGACACGAAUCCAGGCCCUACGGGGUGCAGCAGGCGCGAAAACUUUACAAUGCUGGCAACAGCGAUAAGGGAACCUCGAGUGCCAGGUUACAAAUCUGGCUGUCGAGAUGCCUAAAAAGCAUUUCAUAGCAAGGGCCGGGCAAGACCGGUGCCAGCCGCCGCGGUAACACCGGCGGCUCGAGUGGUAACCGUUAUUAUUGGGACU
rnacentral:rRNA from 1 species